rnacentral:piRNA from 1 species
UGAACAGUCCUUGAUUUGGGUCCCUCCU